rnacentral:rRNA from 1 species
CGGGGGCUAAUACCCGGAUAGGAGCGUCCUGCUGCAUGCGGGGUUGAAAGUUUCGGCGGUUGGGGAUGGACUCGCGGCUUAUCAGCUUGUUGGUGGGGUAGUGGCUUACCAAGGCUUUGACGGGUAGCCGGCCUGAGAGGGUGACCGGCCACAUUGGGACUGAGAUACGGCCCAGACUCCUACGGGAGGCAGCAGUGGGAAUAUUGCACAAUGGGCGGAAGCCUGAUGCAGCAACGCCGCGUGCGGGAUGACGGCCUUCGGGUUGUAAACCGCUUUCGCCUGUGACGAAGCGUGAGUGACGGUAAUGGGUAAAGAAGCACCGGCUAACUACGUGCCAGCAGCCGCGGUGAUACGUAGGGUGCGAGCGUUGUCCGGAUUUAUUGGGCGUAAAGGGCUCGUAGGUGGUUGAUCGCGUCGGAAGUGUAAUCUUGGGGCUUAACCCUGAGCGUGCUUUCGAUACGGGUUGACUUGAGGAAGGUAGGGGAGAAUGGAAUUCCUGGUGGAGCGGUGGAAUGCGCAGAUAUCAGGAGGAACACCAGUGGCGAAGGCGG